rnacentral:rRNA from 1 species
GACGAACGCUGGCGGCGUGCCUAACACAUGCAAGUCGAACGGUCCGGCACUCAACCGACCCUCAGUCUAGCUGUAGGUGAGGUUAAGUGCCGGAUAGUGGCGGACGGGUGAGUAACGCGUGGGCAACCAACCCUGUACAGUGGGAUAACACCGGGAAACCGGUGCUAAUACCGCAUGACACCUAGAUGGUGCAUACUGUUUAGGUUAAAGGGCAAAACCGGUACGGGACGGGCCCGCGUCCCAUUAGCUGGUUGGUGAGGUAACGGCUCACCAAGGCGACGAUGGGUAGCCGACCUGAGAGGGUGACCGGCCACACUGGGACUGAGACACGGCCCAGACUCCUACGGGAGGCAGCAGUGGGGAAUAUUGCGCAAUGGACGGAAGUCUGACGCAGCGACGCCGCGUGAGCGACGAAGGCCUUCGGGUCGUAAAGCUCUGUUCUUGGGGUACGAAGGAAAUAGACGGUACCCGAACGGAGAAAGACCCCGGCCGUAACUACGUGCCAGCAGCCGCGGUAAAGUCACGUCG